GCUUACGGCCAUACCACCAUGAGCACGCCUGAUCUCGUCUGAUCUCGGAAGCUAAGCAGGGUCGGGCCUGGUUAGUACUUGGAUGGGACACCGCCUGGGAAUACCAGGUGCUGUAAGCU
rnacentral:rRNA from 1 species